rnacentral:rRNA from 1 species
UUUUGGACAAUGGGGGCAACCCUGAUCCAGCAAUGCCGCGUGAGUGAAGAAGGCCUUCGGGUUGUAAAGCUCUUUUGUCAGGGCCGAACCACCGGCUCUAACACAGUCCGGGAAUGACGGUACCUGAAGAAUAAGCACCGGCUAACUACGUGCCAGCAGCCGCGGUAAUACGUAGGGUGCGAGCGUUAAUCGGAAUUACUGGGCGUAAAGCGUGCGCAGGCGGUUAUACAAGACAGGCGUGAAAUCCCCGGGCUUAACCUGGGAAUGGCGCCUGUGACUGUAUAGCUAGAGUGUGUCAGAGGGGGGUAGAAUUCCACGUGUAGCAGUGAAAUGCGUAGAUAUGGGAGGAAUACCAAUGGCGAAGGCAGCCCCCUGGGAUGACACUGACGCUCAUGCACGAA